GAUGAACGCUGGCGGCGUGCUUAACACAUGCAAGUCGAACGGAAAGGCCCAAGCUUGCUUGGGUACUCGAGUGGCGAACGGGUGAGUAACACGUGGGUGAUCUGCCCUGCACUUCGGGAUAAGCCUGGGAAACUGGGUCUAAUACCGGAUAGGACCACAUUUUGGAUGGUGUGGUGGAAAGUUUUUCGGUGUGGGAUGAGCUCGCGGCCUAUCAGCUUGUUGGUGGGGUAAUGGCCUACCAAGGCGUCGACGGGUAGCCGGCCUGAGAGGGUGUACGGCCACAUUGGGACUGAGAUACGGCCCAGACUCCUACGGGAAGCAGCAGUGGGGAAUAUUGCACAAUGGGCGCAAGCCUGAUGCAGCGACGCCGCGUGGGGGAUGACGGCCUUCGGGUUGUAAACUCCUUUCGCUAGGGACGAAGCGUUAUGUGACGGUACCUGGAGAAGAAGCACCGGCUAACUACGUG
rnacentral:rRNA from 1 species